AGUGAACGCUGGCGGUAGGCCUAACACAUGCAAGUCGAACGGCAGCACAGUAAGAGCUUGCUCUUACGGGUGGCGAGUGGCGGACGGGUGAGGAACACAUCGGAAUCUACUUUUUCGUGGGGGAUAACGUAGGGAAACUUACGCUAAUACCGCAUACGACCUACGGGUGAAAGCAGGGGAUCUUCGGACCUUGCGCGAUUGAAUGAGCCGAUGUCGGAUUAGCUAGUUGGCGGGGUAAAGGCCCACCAAGGCGACGAUCCGUAGCUGGUCUGAGAGGAUGAUCAGCCACACUGGAACUGAGACACGGUCCAGACUCCUACGGGAGGCAGCAGUGGGGAAUAUUGGACAAUGGGUGCAAGCCUGAUCCAGCCAUACCGCGUGGGUGAAGAAGGCCUUCGGGUUGUAAAGCCCUUUUGUUGGGAAAGAAAAGCAGCAGGUUAAUACCCCGCUGUUCUGACGGUACCCAAAGAAUAAGCACCGGCUAACUUCGUG
rnacentral:rRNA from 1 species